UACGAGGGGGGCAAAUGUUGUUCGGAAUCACUGGGCGUAAAGGGAGCGUAGGCGGGUUCUUAAGUUAGGUGUUUAAUCCCGGGGCCCAACCCCGGACCGGCACUUAAAACUGGGAAUCUUGAAUAGUGGAGAGGUCAGUGGAAUUGGGGGUGUAGCGGUGAAAUGCGUAGAUAUCCGGAGGAACACCAGUGGCGAAAGCGGCCACCUGGACUGCACCUGACGCUGACACGCGAAAGCUAGGGGAGCGAACGGG
rnacentral:rRNA from 1 species